GACGUCUUGAACGGGUUGUAGUUGAUGAACGCGUAACCCCGCGCCUGGUCAAUGAUGUGAAAGAGCGGGUUCCAGUCGAACAUCGCGACCAUUGUGUAGGUCAUCGAGUUGGCCACGAACAUCUUGCCUGACGCGAACAUGUUGACGCGCGU
rnacentral:ncRNA from 1 species